ACAAUUGUGAUGGAAAAUUAUCUGCCAAAGAUUUACAGGCUAUUUCAAAGAGUUAUGGAUUAAAAUUGUCUCCAGAGGAUAUUGAUGGUAUGAUUACUGAAGCCAAUAGAGAUGGAACUGGUUUAAUAACAUUACAAGAAUUUAUUGAAGUUAUGCAAAAAACACCAUUAUUUAAUUAGCAAUCUACAUAGUACAUACAUAAGCCAAAACUGUUCACA